ensembl:snRNA U6 U6 spliceosomal RNA
GUGCUCACUGUGGCAGCACAUAUACUAAAAUUGGAAUGAUACAGAGAUUAGCAUGGCCCCUGCACAAGGAUGACACGUGAACACAUCAAGUGGUUCAUGUCUUU